CCAGGUAGUGCCACUUGGAUGCGUACUGGGAGAUAACUUUUGUUUUCCCUCAGAAACUGUGUUAUAGUAAUGCGUAAGGAGCUUAUCAUCACCGUUGCAGCUAGUUUCAUACUUCCCUAUGGUAUUUUCACAUGGCAAUUUCCUGGAAUUAUGCGCUCUCUAAGCUACAUCUGGCAUUCGCCACCGGCUCUCCAUGUUAAAAGAUAGAGAUUUGACAGCUUUUUCUGUUGCAGUUAAUGUAUUACAAGUCAUUAUAUACUUUUAAUAUAUACUACUACGUAAUAUAUAUAGACACGCAUACACACAAAUUUAUGCGAAUAACAAUGAUUGUUCUUGUUUGGAGAUGGAAGUAGAUGAAAAAAGCGAAAGAAGAAGUAGUUUAGGCGUACUCAGCGUGGCUCCAUCAAUACUUGCAGACGUGCAUAUAUUGAUGGUGCCACGCUGUGUGCGACUGAACUAUGCCUUCUCUUUAUCUUGUGCCCUAGUGAAAAGUUUCCAUCUCUAUAUCCAAACUUAUAUAUCUCCAUUUAAUCGAUGUGCAUACAACGAUGCUGCAGUUCUUAUAUAUGGUUUUUCUUCUCUUCCUCCGAUCCAUUUCUAUUUAUUUUUCUUGCAUCAUGAGGAGUCUUUUUCAUAUCAUAAUUCAACUGAUGAGCAAUUGAGAAUAACAUAGACGGUGCUUGUUUUUGCCUUUUCACUUUUUCUCUUCCUCUUCCUUUUUCCCCUCAGUCCUCCGCCAUGACAUGCAUUUGAUAUUAAUUAAUGGAGUAUAUAUAUUUCUGGAGUCUGUGCCUGUACGGUGUUGUAUAUAUAUAUCCAUAAUCCAUGCAUGCAGUUUCCUAAAUGGUACAUGUCCAUUGUCCACUGAGGAUUAGAUCAUUUUAGAUGAAAACUAAUUAUAUAUGCUGCAGCCUGCCUGCAUGCAGAAAUACAAUUAUGCAAUCUGUUUUCCCCUUGUUUAAAGGGGAGCUUAGGCGAAGAGGAGAUUAUAGAAGAUUGAGGUUGUUUAGGGCACGAAAUUAAAGCUCAUCUCGCCAAGGCCAUUAAUGUGAGUGUAGUCUUUUCAUACGAAUGCAUAUGAAAGCCACAACUUGGACUAGUGUGGUGUUAGAAGCUAGCGUGUUUUGACCAUCUCAUCAUCACGCCGUUUUUAUUUGCUUAAUUAUACUUAGUAAUUAAUACACCGUUGCGACCACGUUGAUUCUUUCUUUGAUGAAUAUUUUGUUCAUAAUUAAUCUAUUUACGCUGAUAUCUGUUUGGUCUGAUAUCAUGAUGAAUUGUGCAUCUCUCCAUUUUCUCUUCUUUAAUUUGAUUUUUCUUCUUCAUAUUUGUUUCAGGCGAAGAGGAAAACAAGUGUAUGGUCAAUAUGAGGCUAGCGCAGAAACGCAUCUAAAUAUGUAGUACUACAUGUUUUGUGCAUGGUCAUUAUAGGAAUCACGUAUAUUGUGUUUUCUAAUUAUAUUAUUGCUGAAAAUAUAAUUCUGAUACGAGUUACGACUAUGGCCAGAUCAUCUUGUUUGGUUUCAAUACGUAGAACUUUUAAGGAUUUCUCCUUCUUAUCAUGUCCGUUUCAAAGUCAAAUUUCUAAUAUAUAGCAUCGCUAAAUGGGUC
rnacentral:lncRNA from 1 species